AUGGCAAAUUUUCGUGAGGUUUUAUCAGAAUGCAAUUUAUUUGAUUUGGGUUUUUCGGGUGUUCCUUGGACUUGCAAUAACAAGCAGGAAGGUCACAAAAAUGUGAAAGUGUGUCUUGACCGUGCGGUGGCUUGUCCUCGGUGGUCCUCCAUGUUCCCUAAUUGUACGGUGCAACAUAUUAUCAGUUCAAGGUCAGAUCAUUGUCCUCUUCUUAUUCAAGUGAUGGGAGUUCCUCGUCCCGGGAUGCUUAUUAAAAAUCUAAGAUAUGAAGCGUACUGGGAGAGAGAGGCUGGGGUGCUGAAUGAUCAAAUUGAAUUGGUUUGGAAUAAAAGUACGCAUGUCAGUGACCUGGGAGAUGUGGCAAAUAAGUUGGACAGCCUUAUGAAGUCUCUUCAUGGGUGGAGUAAGGAACAUAUUGGUUAUUUGCCCAAAAAGCUUGAAACGACGCGAAAGAGAUUAAAUUUGCUCUUCAAAAGAAAUGACCAUACUGCUGUUAUGGAAAGGAAGAAAAUCCUGGCGGAGAUGGAUGAACUUUUGAUUAAGGAAGAAAUCAUGUGGAAGCAGAGAUCUUGUUUGGACAAAAUGAAAUGGGGUGAUAGGAAUACAAAAUUCUUUCAGCGAAAGGCCACAUGGAGAGCUAAGAAGAAUAAUAUCUUGGCCCUUAAAAGGAGCGACAGGUCCCUCUCUCAUGAUGUGGACGAGAUGAAAGGUAUCACAAACUCUUUUUUUAAGAAUCUCUACUCUUGUGACAAGACAGUAAACCCUUCUUAUAUUAUCUCUCUUGUGAAACCUCUGGUGAAUGAUGAGAUGAAUGAGGAUCUUUGUAAGCCUUUUUUUGAACAAGAGAUUAGUGAUGCGCUCUUUCAAAUUAGUCCGUUGAAGGCUCAAGGGCCAGGUGGGUUUCCAGCUGGCUUUUUCCAGAGGAAUUGGGGUUUGCUAAAGGAAGAUAUUGUUCGUGCAGUUCAACAAUUCUUUAUAUCGGGAUGUAUGCCGGAGGGGAUAAAUAAUACAACUAUUGUGCUUAUUCCGAAAGUGAAGAACCCCCAGUCGAUAAAAGAUUUUCGGCCAAUCAGUCUAUGCAAUGUCAUAUAUAAAAUUAUCUCCAAGUGUCUUGUCAACAGACUGAGACCUCUGUUGGACGGUAUGAUUUCUCCAACCCAAAGUGCGUUCAUCCCUGGAAGAUUAAUUUCUGAUAAUGCUCUUAUAGCUUUUGAAUGUAUGCAUUCGUUGAGUACGCUAAAAGACAGCCGAGGUGAAUAUUGUGUGUACAAGCUGGACCUAGCCAAGGCAUAUGAUCGUGUAGACUGGAGGUUCUUGGAAAGUAUGCUUCGGGCAUAUGGUUUUGCUCCAGUGUGGGUUAAGUGGAUUAUGAUCUGUGUGACGUCAGUGAAAUUUUCUGUGCGGUUUAAUGGUCAGUUGUUAGAUUCGUUCCAACCUUCUUGUGGCCUCAGGCAAGGGGAUCCUCUAUCUCCUUACCUUUUCCUAUUUGUGGCUGAGGCUCUUUCGUUGUUACUCCAUGAUGCUACGGCGAAGGGGGUUAUUCAAGAUUUUCGGCUGAACAGACAUGCUCCAGGGGUCUCACAUUUAUUAUUUGCGGAUGAUAGCCUCCUAUUUUUAAGGGUUCUUUGGAGCAAGCUCUGGUCAUUAAACAGAUUUUGGCUGCUUAUGAGGAGGGGACGGGUCAAUUGCUAA
rnacentral:rRNA from 1 species